UCAGAUGAGAGAAAUGCAGCUGAUUUGAAUGUUGAGGGUGUGACAACUUCGGGAAGUUCCUAGAAGCUCUGUGAUAUCUACAGAAAGGAAACAAGCUAAACUCAGCACUGCUGCCAUGAGGUAAGGGACUCCCCUCCUAAUGGAGAAAUUGAUGGAUCUGGUUUCCUUUCAGGUGAAAGAAAUGCAGCUGAUCUGAUCUCCUAGGGAUUGAGGACUAUAAGCAGUCAUAUGUCUUAGGAAAGGAACACAUGUUGCCAGAUCUGCAGAGAAAACAAAGUUGCCUUCCUUAACUAGAAUGGGAAGAUAAUCACUUAUCAAGUUACAAACCCACAAUGCAGCAGCCCAUCACUGACUAGGAGAAGAAGAGUUACAGAGGCUCAGUACUGGAGUAGAAGGGAAUACGAAUGGAGCUGAACAGAUCCAACACUUGAAAGGACAAUUGGAUCUCAAAAUAUGAAACCAUGAAAAAGACCCUUCAUUCAAUAAAGCAACAGAAUUGGCUCAAAGGAGAGAUGAAGGAAACACAGCCAGCAUGGACAGUAUUCAUGAAACAAUGUUCAAAAGUUGCCUGGGGUCACCUCUUGGGCUAAGGGGAGCCGCUUGUCCCAUCUGCUGGGAUGUAAGCAAAGAAAAACCACUGGAGGCUGGUUAGUGCUGGGACACAGACAAUACCCUGGAGGAGCCUGGGGUACGGUGUGUAAUCAUAGUGACCAGUGGGUCCUUUCCCCACUGUGGUCCUGGCUCGCAUGCACAGGGUGAAACUGAUCGCCAUGUUUGGGGUCAGGAAGGAAUUUUCCUCCAGGGCAGAUUGGCCAGAGACCCUGGAGGUUUUUCGCCUUCCUCUGGGGCAUCGAGCAGGGACCAGCCCUUUGGGCCAUUUAGAAACAGACAGACAA